UAAAAAUAAUUUUAAAAUAUAAUAAUAAAAAAUACCAAAUAUAUGUGAUGAUUUAAAAUAAUCAAUUAACUUACAGCAUGAAAACUAUCAAAUUGUUAUAUAUUCAAAUUAUUAUAUAUAAACAUUUAAAUAUAUAAGUAACUUUAUAAAUAUAUUUUAAUUAUGUAAAAUAUAUAUAAAAACAUGAAAAUUAGUACCCGCACGGUUGUGCGGGUCCAAAUCUAGUAAAGUAUUAAGUAGCUAACUAUGCGUUUUAAACGAAAGAUUAUACGCUAGUGUAAAAAAAAAAACAAAACUGUUAGGCAAUUGUCUUCUACAAAUAUAGUUAUCCGAAUAGAACCUCCAUAUAACAUCAUAUCACUGAAAGUAGAAUAAUUUGCAAGCUUCAGAAGUCCUGGCAUUGCAAGUAGAAAACUGUGUAUAUCAGGAAACAAAAAUAAAUUCCACGUGGGUAGUUCUUAUUGGUUUCUAUAGAGAUGUAUUUGAUUUGCUUCGCGGCAAAGUUUCAAGGAGAUGCGAGGAGGACCCUCAGUGUUUCAAGAAGUCUCCGGAACUGCCCGAGCGUCACGGUAGCGAAAAGGUAAUCUACACAUAACCAGCAAGGGUAUUAUCGUCAACGUCUUCUGGCUUGGAGGACUGCUUUCAUCUGUGGCUUGGCCAUGCUUAUGUGGCUUCAUUUUGCUUCUUCCAUCUUUGGUGGCUCUGCGUCUAUCUUCGAGUUUGAGGUACACUAGACGUGUGUAAAGAUGACUUUCUUUUUGUAGUUUGUUCUUUCUUAGACUCCUCACAAUGCUAAGAAUGUGUUGGUGCAGCUCUACUUCGGACUGUUGAUCUUUGUUGGAUACAUGGUGGUGGACACGCAAGAGAUUAUAGAGAAAGCACAUCUCGGUGAUAUGGACUAUGAGAAACAUUCGUUGACCCUCUUCACCGAUUUUGUAGCUGUGUUUAUUCGUAUGCUCAUCAUUAUGGUAAGCUCGUUUGUCGCUGGUGUUAAGUAAUGUUGCUUUGUUUUGUUAGUAGGCCUUCACUGACAGAUCGUUUUCUUUACAGUUGAAGAAUGCGGCGGAUAAAGAAGAGAAGAAGAAGAAGAAGAAGAAGAAGAAAAGGAGAAACUGAGACUAAAUGUGACAAAGAAAGUCGAUAGAGAGAUGUUGUAUAAGUACAUGUUAACGACCGUUGUUUUUAGCUUUAGGCUCCACUGUUGGUAAAGGCACAUAUCUAGUUUCUUGUUCAUACUGCGUCAUAACGUCCUUUUAUAUUUUAGUGGCUGGAGUAGUGUUCGUUGUUCUUACUCUUCAAUGUUAUAUAGAGCUUUCAAAAUUUUUUUGAGGUUGUGGUUCUGCUGUUUAAAUCGCACUGCGCUCUGGAUGAAUAAUAGGCAAGAAUAAGUCCUUGAACCUCUAAAAGUUCUUUGUGGAGGUGUGUAGUCCAGAAUCUUGUUGCUUAAUGCGAGUUCUGUCAUAAAAGAGACUGAACAUUAAAACCGGUGCGUGGACUAAAUCAUGUGUUGGUUGAGGUUUAGAUAACUUCACCUUUGGUAGGCGAAAAGAAAAAAGCUUGGGCCUCUGAAUUUGAGUCUUAUCCCCUCUUUUUCAACAAGGAAAGUGUAGAGAGGAACAUGUGGUUCCAACAGGAAAGUACAUCGUUCUCAUGACAAAGUUACGUCUUCGAUCCACGGAGGAACGUAAGGAUGUCAAUCAAUCAAAAUUGUUGUUUUAGGAUAUUCUUCAGUUCACAUAUUAAAAUCCAGGCGAAGGAGAAGAGUGGAUACUGUAUGAAACAACAGCAGACGAAUCUCAUCGAAAUGGAUGGACUAGUUUGGUAUAUUCGUAGUGCCAGCACACAAAGAAUCUAUAAACAUUGAAGAUCAAACUCCUCAGAAAAUUAACAUUGUUGACAGACGAUAAACCUUAAGCGAAUUAGUUAUGUUUAGUUCAUAAUAACCAAAUUCUUCAUGCCACAGUAGAAUGGUCCAAGUAACCAAUGUUGCACAAGCGCAAAGCUUGGUGCUGCUCGCCAUAGACAUGACCCUGGUUGCAGUAGCUGUGACUGGAUUUGCCAAAAAGGAAGCUGCCUCCAAGGCAACAUGACUUCCUAUAUGAAGUAUUUAUGUAUAUGUGAUGAUCUCUUCCUUGCCAAAACAACUAAAUGUUGGUUUUCUAAAAUUUCCUUGGCGUCUUUACGUUGUGAACACCUGAGUCUUGACUAAUAAUUUCUGCCGCAUGACACUGUCUUGUUGCUUAACAUUUUACAGAGUUUUUCUUCCUUUCAAUAUAAUGGUUUGUGAGAAUAGCAAAUUCGACACCCGUCUCAUUUUCACUUUCUUCCAAUUGAACAAUGUGACUUUGAGAAGAUGAUAGACUUUCAUUUAAUAUAGCAGAUGAAACUAAAGGCGCGGUUCAUAGCUUGUCCGAGACUAAAGACUGUAUUCUUCACUUCUCUCAUGUAAAGUCAACAGGUCUGGUCUUAUUAGGCUCCUAAGGUUAAAGCUCAUGAAGCAUCAGUUUUAAUUGCCAAAAAAAUAUAAUAACUUAAGUUCAUCAAAAUAGUGUAAUGUUUUAAGGACCAAUUUUUCCAUGCUUUAAACGAUUCAACUCGAUAGGGGGUGUGAGUCAGAGCCGUAUAUAAGGGCACCUGCAAUGGUGGACCUGGAGAGCUCGAUUUCCAAUGUUAAAUUUUAAUUAUUUUAUUAGUUUUUUUUUUCUUUUUCGUUUAAUUAAAAAAAAAAUUAAAAAUGGACUAAUCGUGGACCGCCACGUAUCGUGGGACCCACGACACAGUAACGAAAAGCAACUAGGAUCAAUCCUUAUGUUAGGAUUUUUCGGAUUGAUCCUUACAAAAUUUGUGCUCCACACCAAUAUUUUAAUAUUUCUUUUUUAUAGAUUCGAGCUAAGGAUUCUUUGUUGCACAUGCUCUAAGAAAUUUUGCUUACUCUGUGAAUAAAUAUAAUGAUAUCAAAUAGAUUGGAGGUCAAUAAUGACAGUUUUCUCUUGUUAUAUAGGAACUACAUGGAUUUGUGACCAAAAGUUGGAUAAGGACGGAGAUGGAAACUUUGUUUUUAACCCACAGAUUCAUUCUAUCUUAUGGGAGAUGGAGUCGAUCUUCAGUGCAAUACAGAAUUAUCUAGCAACAUUUUCAAUAUCUAAGGAUAAAUAGACUUUAAGUUCGGUCGUUGAAGAGAAAUCUUAUGACAAUAAACGAACUCAUUUCGAUAAGUGUAUAUAUAAUCUGCAUAUUUAAUACAUAACCAAACUCUUGAAAAUAAGUAAAUAGUAACCUUAUGUAGUAAAUGAACUGGUGAAAAUAUAUAAUACUAGAUGAAAUCGUGAAAAAUGAAAAUA